rnacentral:pre_miRNA from 7 species
UGAUAAAGAUUUUUAGCUGGCUUUAUAAUUGGAAUCAUACUUACUAGUGAAAGAACCUAGUGGGGAAACCCCCACUCAACUCCCGAUUUGGCGUGCACCCAAGAAUCACGAACAGAACA